UCAAAUUAGUGAGAUUGUUGAAUUCAAAUGGAAUUUGACCACUAAGAUUAUUUGAAGGCAACCAUAACUCUUGAAGAGAUGUCAACUUUCCUAACUCCUUAGGAAUGGAUCCAGAGAGCUGAUUUUCCCAUAGAAAUAAAUAUACCAACAUUGACAAGUUCCCAAGUGAGA